GAUGAACGCUGGCGGCGUGCCUAAUACAUGCAAGUCGAGCGAACAGACGAGGCUCUUGCUCCUCUGACGUUAGCGGCGGACGUGUGAGUCACACGUGGAUACCCUACCUAUAAUACUGGGAUCACUUCGGGACACCGGCGCUAAUACCAUAUAAUCUCUUGAACCGCAUGGUUCAAUAGUAAAAGUCGGUUUUUCUGUCACUUCUCGCUGCAUCCGGGCCGCAUUAGCUGGUUGGUAAGGUAACGGGCUACCAAGGCAACGAGGCGUAGCCGACCUGAGAGGGUGGUAGGCCACACGGGAACGGAGACAGGGUCCAGAGGCCUAAGGGAGGCAGCAGUAGGGAAUCUUCAGCAAUGGGCGAAAGCAUGACGGAGCAACGCCGAGUGAGAGAUGAAGAUGUUCGGAUCGUAAAAAUGUGUUAUUAGGGAAGAACAAAUGUGGAAGGAACUAUGCACGGAUUGACGGUACCUAAUAAGAAAGCCACGGCUAACUACGUG
rnacentral:rRNA from 1 species